UACGUAGGGUGCAAGCGUUAAUCGGAAUUACUGGGCGUAAAGCGUGCGCAGGCGGUUGUGUAAGACAGAUGUGAAAGCCCCGGGCUCAACCUGGGAACUGCAUUUGUGACUGCACAGCUGGAGUGCGGCAGAGGGGGAUGGAAUUCCGCGUGUAGCAGUGAAAUGCGUAGAUAUGCGGAGGAACACCGAUGGCGAAGGCAAUCCCCUGGGCCUGCACUGACGCUCAUGCACGAAAGCGUGGGGAGCAAACAGG
rnacentral:rRNA from 1 species